CAGAAAUCGUGUAAAUUGCACUUAGUUAUCGCAGGAUAAUUUUAAGAAAAUUACUUAGGAUAUUUUAGAAAAUUAUUUCAAGUGGUCAUUCAAAAAAAUGGGUGUAAUCGUGUAUCUUUUCUUGUGUAUGUAUAUUACUCACAUAACAGCUGGUCAAACUUUUCAAUACUCCCGUGGAUGGACAAAUGGAAAAAGAUCCAAUGUUAUCAUGGUUCCUUUCAAAAAACCAGCUUCAGCGCUGAAACAACAACCAUACUUCCCAUGCGUGUUGGAUCCUCAAUUGGUAGCAAUCGACACAGAUAAUAGCAAAAAUGUACGCUCCAAAAUGUUCGAUCAUGACCUCAUGAUGGAUACCGAAGGAGCCCAAAGAAGUUUAAAAGACGAAGAAGUAUUCUAAAAGAACCAAAAUUCUAAGUAGUGAAGAACGAAAAUAUUUUAACAACCAAAAUAAUAUAUUUUA